ACCCCUACGGGAGGCAGCAGUGAGGAAUAUUGGACAAUGGGCGGGACCCUGAUCCAGCCAUGCCGCGUGCAGGAAGACUGCCCUAUGGGUUGUAAACUGCUUUUUUACGGGAAGAAAAAGCGCUACGUGUAGCUCGGUGACGGUACCGUAAGAAUAAGGAUCGGCUAACUCCGUGCCAGCAGCCGCGGUAA
rnacentral:rRNA from 1 species